rnacentral:snRNA from 1 species
GUACUUGCUUCGGCAGUACAUAUAAGUACUAAAAUUGGAACGAUACAGAGAAGAUUAGCAUGGCCCCUGCGCAAGGAUGACACGCAAAAUCGUGAAGCGUUCCACAUUUUU